AGAGAAGAUGAGGAGCAGAAUGCCAGUCAGUGUGCUGCACUCAGAUUGGCAGUCUUCAGAAGGGAUAAAGGAUAAAACCUGUAGUCUUCCAGUUCCUGGUGACAUAAAGUGUCAUCUGUUCAAAUGCACGCAAAGUCAUCUGCAUGCCCAGCGUAACCUUCAUCUGAAUGAACUUCUGUUACCUUUGGAUUAUUUUUAAUCAGGACACAGUAACAGAACUAGGACUUAGUUCAAUACCCAUUUCGUUUACAUGUGUCAGCAAAGAGAAGAUAUCUGUAUUCAGAAGAAAGGACAUCAAGACUAAUCUAAAUUUUUACCAUAUCUGUGUAUAUUUGUGUCUGCAUAAUGAGACUAUGCAUGAUGAAUCAUGCAUCACAUCUAUUAUCUACUACAAAUACAGAGAAAAGAUUACCGAUGGUUUUAGCAACAAGUUAUAAAGUCUGAGCUUUUAAAGACUAUUCUACAAUAUCAUUUAAGAAAUGCUUCUUGAAAUCUAGCCAAUAGAAGAUGAAACAACUCAAAAUAAUCCACAAGUGUUUUCUACAGGAAUUUCUUCCGGUAUUAUAUCACUGUAACACAGAGUAUCCUCGGGAAGAAACUAUAUCUCAAUCUGGAGAAAAGUAGUUUCAUGAUACCUAUUUUUCCUUCAUCUAGUUACAGUAUGUUUCAAAAGUGCCUUAUGGAAAACUUUAAUAUCUUUUCUGAAAAGUAUGUGCUUGAUAUUAAGGGGAUUUUAAAAUGGAAAAUACUUUGAAUAAACCAAACAUUUCAAAAUUUGAUAACUCUUGA
rnacentral:lncRNA from 1 species